rnacentral:rRNA from 1 species
UACGUAGGUGGCAAGCGUUAUCAGGAAUUAUUGGGCGUAAAGCGCGCGCAGGCGGUCCUUUAAGUCUGAUGUGAAAGCCCACGGCUCAACCGUGGAGGGUCAUUGGAAACUGGGGGACUUGAGUGCAGAAGAGGAGAGCGGAAUUCCACGUGUAGCGGUGAAAUGCGUAGAGAUGUGGAGGAACACCAGUGGCGAAGGCGGCUCUCUGGUCUGUAACUGACGCUGAGGCGCGAAAGCGUGGGGAGCGAACAGG